rnacentral:lncRNA from 1 species
CAUUACUUUUAAAGUCCCUAUAUUAAUGCUUAUAUAUAAAUUCACGAAAUGUUGUACAUACACCAGUUAUUAUGGUGGAGGAUACUGUUCAUUCAUAUUUUACAGAGGAUUUAUUGUGUUUUAAUGUACAGAUACUGUUAACAUUUAUCGGUCUCAUCCGAGUGCUCUCAAACAGGAGGGAAUUACGAAAGAAGAAGAAGUUUCCUGGUUCUUGAAUACUUUAAAAUUUCAAUUUUAAUCAAUUUAUCUUUUAUUUAAUUUUGUCUUUAUUUUUGUUUUUAAUUUCUGUUUUAUGGUUCACAUAAAAUAAAUAAAAGGUCUUUUCGCUACAUUAAUGUUUAGAAUGAAACUUCAAUUUAAAAGUUUAGAAAAGUCGAAAGAUGUUUAUUUCAGCCUGGUAGUUACAAUGCAGAUUGCAAUAUCGCCCCCUUUAUUUCAAGCAAUAGUAUGAUACUUGCAUAUAUUUGUUUGCUUUAUUUUUUUCAAAUUUUUAAGAAUUUGUUUUUAAAUCUGAUAUUGACCACAUACAAUCUUUAAAAAGGAAGAAAUGCUUAAAAGCUGUCUUUCCGAAGUUGGCGAUAUUUUGGGCAACUGUAUGAGUUAUUAUGAUUUGCUGUUUGAUUAGAAAUAAGCAUAAUCAUAGGAAUUGAUGAUGUCUAAAACUUCUUUGAUGGUUAAUGUAGGGUUUAACUUAGUUUUAAGCAGUUCGGAACUGCAUUAGAAAGAAAAAAAAUGUAAUUUCAAUCUGUUGUUAACUUUUACUCGAAUUUCCAGAAAGAUGAGCUGUCUUUCCAAAUCACGCUUUAAAUAUUAAAAAUUCAUUUGAUUAUUGACUGUUAAUGUGUCUGCUAAUAGUUUAAAUUGUUUGCAUACCUGAAAUUAUUAUUUAGAAGUCAUAAUAAGCAAUCAAGCAUACGGAAAUUACACCGUACGAGUUCUUUUACGACUGGGCAAAACAGGUAGUACAGAUGUGAAGCUUUCGAAUGAAAUGCAAUUUAGCCAUGUGUUAGGUAGGUGCAUGACAACAUUUAAUUUUAAAUUUGGUUAAAGUCACUCCACUCAUCUCAAAA